CAGCGGAAAGGUCUGAACCAGCCUUCGUUCUAAGUCAUCAUCACGGAAUGAUUGCAUUUGAAAUCAGCAUCAGAAGACCACA
rnacentral:lncRNA from 1 species